rnacentral:rRNA from 1 species
AGAGCGAACGCUGGCGGCAGGCCUAAUACAUGCAAGUCGAACGCACCUUCGGGUGAGUGGCGGACGGGUGAGUAACACGUGGGAACGUGCCUUUUGGUUCGGAAUAAUCCGGGGAAACCUGGCCUAAUACCGAAUGUGCCCCCUCCUUUAACCAGGGGGGUGGGAAAGAUUUAUCGCCAUUAGAGCGGCCCGCGUCUGAUUAGCUAGUUGGUGAGGUAAUGGCCCACCAAGGCUACGAUCAGUAGCUGGUCUGAGAGGAUGAUCAGCCACACUGGGACUGAGACACGGCCCAGACUCCUACGGGAGGCAGCAGUAGGGAAUCUUGCGCAAUGGGCGAAAGCCUGACGCAGCCAUGCCGCGUGAAUGAUGAAGGUCUUAGGAUUGUAAAAUUCUUUCAGCGGGGAAGAUAAUGACUGUACCCGCAGAAGAAGCUCCGGCUAACUUCGCGCCAGCAGCCGC